CCUGAAGCCUGGACUUGGCAUUCCCCAGCAAGCCAGGAAGGAGGCAGGAUGGAAGAGUUCACUGCAGCAGACUCUCUGCCCAGACCAUCCAACACAGCUUUUGCAAGAUUGAGAAAAUGAAGCUGAGAAGGACUCAUUUAAUGGAAACAUGGAAAGAACUGUUGGAGAGGCAAGAAGAAAAACUAUAAGGCCAUUCUCAUGAUUAGCUCUAUCCAGGCUAGUAUUGCCCUACCCAGGCCCUAAAGUGAACGUAAAGCCUGCAUAUGCUGGGAUGUACAUUUGAUUCUUCCUUUCCCACAUGAACAGCAUCCAUACAAGACAAAAACAAGAAGUUAUGCUUUGCAAACAUUAUAGGAUAACACAGAAGCAGACUUCAAAACAGCAUACCAUACCAAAUAGCAGAAUUCAGUAACUAUGGAUACUGAUUUUCAUUCAAAAUGAGUGAAAUUCCUAGCCUUACAAAUAGCAGAAUGUGUGGUGGGAUAGGCCUGCUAACUGGACAAUGAGAUACCUAGAUCCCCUGCUAAAAGACAAGGACAAUUUUUAAAGUAGAAUUUCUCUUCUGCUGAGCAGGGGUAGAGCAAUUGUCACUACCCAACCACAGCACAGCAUCCUUCCAGUGGUUGUUGCUGGUGUCUGCUUUGUGUUUUGUUUCAGAUUGUGAGCCAUAUGGGACAGAUAUCCAUCUUAUUUCUUUUUCUGUGGGGCUCUUCACAUGAUCAGUGCCAUGUCAGACAAAAUUGGAGAUUUCAGUGACAUGCAUACUCCCAUGGAGCAUGUUGUGUGAGCUCGGGAUUUUCAAGAAAUCUCUGGUUCUUCAUGCACCAAGCUGACUUGGUGACAAAAUCGACAAGCCCACUUUAGAUCAUAGAUUACAG